AUGGGGUGCAGCAGGCGCGAAACCUCCACAAUGCGCGAAAGCGUGAUGGGGUUAUCCCGAGUGCCGUCCGAUGAGGAUGGCUUUUCAUCGGUGUAAGGAUCCGAUGGAAUAAAGGGGGGGCAAGACUGGUGUCAGCCGCCGCGGUAAUACCAGCCCCCUGAGUGGUAAGGACGAUUAUUUGGCCUAAAGCGUCCGUAGCCGGCUUAUCAAGUCUUUUGUUAAAUCCAACGAUUCAAUCGUUGGGCUGCAAAAGAUACUGUUAUGCUAGAGGACGGGAGAGGUCGACGGUAGUCCAGGGGUAGGGGUGAAAUCCUAUAAUCCUUGGAGGACCACCAGUGGCGAAGGCUGCUAACCAGAACGCGUCCGACGGUGAUGGACGAAAGCUGGGGGAGCGAACCGGAUUAGAUACCCGGGUAGUCCCAGCUGUAAACGAUGCGGGCUAGGUGUUGGGGGGGCUACGAGCCUCUUCAGUGCCGCAGGGAAACCGUUAAGCCCGCCGCCUGGGUAGUACGAUCGCAAGAUUGAAACUUAAAGGAAUUGGCGGGGGAGCAC
rnacentral:rRNA from 1 species